UCGGACUCGUACUCGUCCGGGUUGCCUGUUGAUUUCGGCCAACUGUUGAUCCAAUAAUUUGGCAAUCUUUGAAGGAAUUAUGUAAAUCGCAGCAUCCGAUCGUAUUAAAUCCGAUUCCAACCCAGCUGCAACUCAACUGUGGCGCGACAAAUGUGCGGCGACAUGUGCGAAACAUCCACAGCCACAGCCACAUCCACAGGCAGAUCCCAUGCCCAUCUAUCUCCACCAGAACAGAUAUUCCACUCUCCGAGUCAGAGUCAGUUGGUGUUCAAUGCCCAAAAUGCUAUUUUUGGGCCACUUUUAAAAACCAAAUAAGACAAAUGAAAGCGGAAAAGCGGAAAGUCUGCAAGCGAAAUCUGCAUUAUUUUCAUUCAAGGAGCUGUUCAUGGGAAACAAAGCCAUGAACCAAAGUCUGGAUCGGAUUAUAAUUCCAUUGCUCUUCCUUUGACACUUUUUGGAGUAAUAAUUGAUGACGAAGUCCUUCCCGCUCCAAAGAUAUGGCUUUUAUUUUGCAAUUUAUAACAAACGACAAACACUUAUUGUUCUUGGCCUAAAAAGAUUUCUUGUUUCUCGAAUUCUAUUAAAUGACAAAAUAUACCCCUGCAUCUAAAUAUA